rnacentral:rRNA from 1 species
CCUACGGGAGGCUGCAGUGAGGAAUAUUGGUCAAUGGACGCGAGCCUGAACCAGCCAAGUAGCGUGCAGGAUGACUGCCCUACGGGUUGUAAACUUCUUUUAUACAGGAAUAAACUGAGGCACGUGUGCCUUUUUGUAUGUACUUUAUGAAUAAGGAUCGGCUAAUUCCGUGCCAGCAGCCGCGGUAAUACGGAGGAUCCGAGCGUUAUCCGGAUUUAUUGGGUUUAAAGGGAGCGUAGGCCGGUCUUUAAGCGUGCCGUGAAAUUUUGUGGCUCAACCGUGGGAGUGCGGCGCGAACUGGGGACCUUGAGUGCGCGGAAGGCAGGCGGAAUUCGUGGUGUAGCGGUGAAAUGCUUAGAUAUCACGAAGAACCCCGAUUGCGAAGGCAGCCUGCCGUAGCGUUACUGACGCUGAAGCUCGAAAGCGCGGGUAUCGAACAGGAUUAGAUACCCGAGUAGUC